AUUGGCUAUGUCAUUGCAGGGGAACACUAUGAAGCCAGCAGGAAGAAGGAGGUGUGUAUGCAGACAGACAUAGAGGGUUACCCGCUACCUGCAAGGACGCAGUGCCUGCUGCUGUAAUCCUAAGUACGAUCUGACUUCUCAGCAAGGAUAAAUACGCAUAUGAACUAAGAAAGCAAAAGAGGCCCUCUACUCUUCUGGACUUCUAUGGGUGCUUUCUGUCUCUUUCCAUCAAUCACUCAACGCAUGCCAUGCCAGACUCAACGGGAUCUUCUCUGAGACAAUCGGACCCACUGCUCCCCUCGGCACAGUGCUAGGACUUAGGUUGUCCGAUGGCUCUGCAGCCGGUGCCGUGGUGGAGGAGCAGAAGCACUGUGAGUGGCAAAGGGUUGAAGGAUCGUUAGCCUGGAGCCUCACUUUGUCUGAACAGUGUGCGGUAAGUCUCGGGUCCCAGGGGAAAUAGGUAGUCACGUGACCCACCUACCGGUCUUGGCUGGGCGCUGGAGUGGUUGCUGUGUGUCCAGGGAGAACUGGGGCACACAUAUUUUAUAGGUCGCUGCCUGUGGCACUUCGGCAUCACCGCACCCCCCACUGCAGCCCACUCACGGCUUUCACUCACUGCGGCUGGCAUGAGUGAAAUAUCGAAGCAAUUAUAAAACUCAAGAUAUCGGGUGAGAGAAUUUUAGGAAUGACUGCAGCAAAUUGCUUCCAUUUUUCAGCUCACAGCAAGAAGAAAGGCAGAAACAGAGAGAGGUCAAAAAGAAAGCAAAUUAACAUGCCUACAUUGGCUGUACAGUCUACAUGUGUACAUGUAUAAAUAUAUUAAGCUUCUCUUUUGUGCCUUGGAGAGAAAAGAGCUGCAAUCAGCCAUUCAGGGACGAUCAAAUAGAUUAAAGCGAACAUUGUAGACGUCUCCAAGGAGCCUGCAAUAACAUCUUUAUUCUCGCUCAGCUACCUUCUACUCCACACUGUGUGAGGGAAUAUAUUUUAUUAAAAACAUUUCUUUUACCUGGAGGUCCUGUCAACUAGCUAACAUAAAAGAAAG
rnacentral:lncRNA from 1 species